UGGGGAAUAUUGGGCAAUGGGCGCAAGCCUGACCCAGCAACGCCGCGUGAAGGAAGAAGGCUUUCGGGUUGUAAACUUCUUUUAUUCGGGACGAUAAUGACGGUACCGAAUGAAUAAGCCACGGCUAACUACGUGCCAGCAGCCGCGGUAAUACGUAGGUGGCAAGCGUUAUCCGGAUUUACUGGGUGUAAAGGGCGUGUAGGCGGGACUGCAAGUCAGAUGUGAAAACUAUGGGCUCAACCCAUAGCCUGCAUUUGAAACUGUAGUUCUUGAGUACUGGAGAGGCAGGCGGAAUUCCGUGUGUAGCGGUGAAAUGCGUAGAUAUACGGAGGAACACCAGUGGCGAAGGCGGCCUGCUGGUCUGCAACUGACGCUGAGGCUCGAAAGCAUGGGUAGCGAACAGG
rnacentral:rRNA from 1 species